UAGGGAAUCUUCCGCAAUGGACGCAAGUCUGACGGAGCAACGCCGCGUGAGUGAAGAAGGAUUUCGGUUCGUAAAACUCUGUUGUUAGAGAAGAACAGCGCAUAGAGUAACUGUUAUGCGUGUGACGGUAUCUAACCAGAAAGCCACGGCUAACUACGUGCCAGCAGCCGCGGUAAUACGUAGGUGGCAAGCGUUGUCCGGAUUUAUUGGGCGUAAAGCGAGCGCAGGCGGUCAAUUAAGUCUGAUGUGAAAGCCCCCGGCUCAACCGGGGAGGGUCAUUUGAAACUGGUUGACUUGAGUGCAGAAGAGGAGAGUGGAAUUCCAUGUGUAGCGGUGAAAUGCGUAGAUAUAUGGAGGAACACCAGUGGCGAAGGCGACUCUCUGGUCUGUUACUGACGCUGAGGCUCGAAAGCGUGGGUAGCAAACAGG
rnacentral:rRNA from 1 species